AUUUUACCCUGUUCAUCUCUUCCUCUUAAUCUAUGUUCCUAAUAUCUUACUUCUUUAACCACUUGGGUUGGCUACUACGUAACAUUGCCAACAGUAUAUAGAACACUAAACACACAUAAAACUAGUUUGCUUCCAGAACCAUGUUGCGACGAUUGCCAAAAUAAUCAAUGCCAAAGCAGCAACCUGUUAAAAGAAAACAAAA
rnacentral:lncRNA from 1 species